rnacentral:rRNA from 1 species
CACCGGCGGCCCGAGUGGUGAUCGUGAUUAUUGGGUCUAAAGGGUCCGUAGCCGGUUUGGUCAGUCCUCCGGGAAAUCUGAUAGCUCAACUAUUAGGCUUUCGGGGGUUACUGCCAGACUUGGAACCGGGAGAGGUAAGAGGUACUACAGGGGUAGGAGUGAAAUCUUGUAAUCCCUGUGGGACCACCUGUGGCGAAGGCGUCUUACCAGAACGGGUUCGACGGUGAGGGACGAAGGCUGGGGGCACGAACCGGAUUAGAUACCCGGGUAGUCCCAGCCGUAAACGAUGCUCGCUAGGUGUCAGGCAUGGCGCGACCGUGUCUGGUGCCGCAGGGAAGCCGUGAAGCGAGCCACCUGGGAAGUACGGCCGCAAGGCUGAAACUUAAAGGAAUUGACGG